rnacentral:rRNA from 1 species
UGCGCAAUGGGGGAAACCCUGACGCAGCAACGCCGCGUGCGGGAAGAAGGCCUUCGGGUUGUAAACCGCUUUCAGCAGGGAAUAUCAUGAAGGUACCUGCAGAAGAAGCUCCGGCUAACUACGUGCCAGCAGCCGCGGUAAUACGUAGGGAGCGAGCGUUAUCCGGAAUCAUUGGGCGUAAAGCGCGCGUAGGCGGCUCGCCAAGCGGGUGUCUCAAACCCGGGGGCUCAACCUCCGGCCGGACCCCGAACUGGCGGGCUCGAGUGCGGUAGAGGAAGGUGGAAUUCCCAGUGUAGCGGUGGAAUGCGCAGAUAUUGGGAAGAACACCGAUGGCGAAGGCAGCCUUCUGGGCCGCCACUGACGCUGAGGCGCGAAAGCUAGGGGAGCGAACAGGAUUAGAUACCCUGGUAGUCCUGGCCGUAAACGAUGGGCACUAGGUGUGGGGGAGCAGAUCCUCCGUGCCGCAGCCAACGCAUUAAGUGCCCCGCCUGGGGAGUACGGCCGCAAGGCUAAAACUCAAAGGAAUUGACGGGGGCCCGCACAAGCAGCGGAGCAUGUGGCUUAAUUCGAAGCAACGCGAAGAACCUUACCAGGGCUUGACAUGCGGGUGAAGCGGGGGAGACCCCGUGGCCGA